AACGAACGCUGGCGGCAGGCUUAACACAUGCAAGUCGAACGCACCUUUCGGGGUGAGUGGCAGACGGGUGAGUAACGCGUGGAAAUCUACCCUUCUCUACGGGAUAGCUCCGGGAAACUGGAAUUAAUACCGUAUACGUCCUGAGGGAGAAAGAUUUAUCGGGGAAGGAUGAGCCCGCGUUGGAUUAGCUAGUUGGUGGGGUAAAGGCCUACCAAGGCGACGAUCCAUAGCUGGUCUAAGAGGAUGACCAGCCACAUUGGGACUGAGACACGGCCCAAACUCCUACGGGAGGCAGCAGUGGGGAAUAUUGGACAAUGGGCGCAAGCCUGAUCCAGCCAUGCCGCGUGAGUGAUGAAGGCCCUAGGGUUGUAAAGCUCUUUCAGUGGGGACGAUAAUGACGGUACCCACAGAAGAAGCCCCGGCUAACUUCGUG
rnacentral:rRNA from 1 species